rnacentral:tRNA from 1 species
CGGGGCGUGGCCCAGAUGGUUUAAGGCGCCUGCUUUGGGAGCAGGAGAUCGUGGGUUCAAAUCCCGCCGCCCCGA